GGAAUAGCAUAGGUUUAACUAUGUCAAAGACUAUUUACAUAUUUCAAUAACGAAAACAUUGCUUUAUAUUCAUUUAUUGAUUUGAAUUUUGUUAUGUAGUGGUGCAGUAUCGCCUUGAGUAUAAGUGAUACCGUUUCUAGGUUACACGAUAUUGUCACUCAUUUAAAGAAAUAACUAUUUUUAGAGAAUACGCCUUGCUCUAAACGCCAUGAUAAUUUGGAGUCCCAAAAACAAUCCAUACGAUUAGCAGUAAAGAAUUUUCCCAUGGAUGAGUGUGCGCUUCUAUUGAUAACUGGCCACACGUUUAAAGGACUGUAUUGCAGCCAAUGGAGACCACUAUGAAUAAGUUUUUUAUAUUUUUAAUUAUUUCAUAUUUAUGUAUUAACUAACACACUGUAACAGCAAUAAAAUGUUAUUUGCAAAA